UACGUAGGGGGCAAGCGUUGUCCGGAAUCAUUGGGCGUAAAGCGCGUGUAGGCGGCUCGAUAAGUCUGCUGUGAAAAGUCCAGGGCUCAACCCUGGGAUGCCGGUGGAUACUGUCGAGCUCGAGUCCGGAAGAGGAGAGUGGAAUUCCCGGUGUAGCGGUGAAAUGCGCAGAUAUCGGGAAGAACACCCGUGGCGAAGGCGGCUCUCUGGGGACGGUACUGACGCUAGAC
rnacentral:rRNA from 1 species